rnacentral:lncRNA from 1 species
CGGAAAAUGCUCCGUCGCUGGCGAAGGAAGGCUGCAUCGUCAGGUGGUCGCAUUAGGGUCCCGUCAGACGUCCCAGCCGGCCACGUGGCGAUCUGCGUGGGGAGCGGGUGCAGGAGGUUCAUUGUGCGCGCGUCGUACCUGAACCACCCCGUCUUCAAGGCGCUGUUCCUUGAAGCCGAGGAGGAGUACGGCUUCGCUAACCACGGCCCGCUCGCGAUUCCCUGCGACGAGUCGGUGUUCGAGGAGGUCCUCCGAGUGGUGUCCAGGUCCGAGUCGAGCCACCCGCCGCGACUCACCAUCGGUGACGACUUCCAGAGACGCUGCCACGUGGAGUCUCGGCCGUUGCUCCACGGUUUUGCCGAGAAAUCUAUAUGUUAAUCAACCAGUGAGUCGUUCCGACCGAGUGUAUUAAAAUUUCGUGUGUGGGUUUGCAUAAUGGGGUUGAAAACAAGUGGGUUAACGUGCGCAUGGGGCUCACAAUUCCUCUUCUAAACCUUGGCCGGCCAUUGAGUCAAGGGCUCUCUUGUAUAUAUUCUAAAAAGCUUAGGGUAUCGAGGCGUGUGAGGAGAGAUAAGAGGAAGUGAAGAGACCGCCAUGUCUGCAACUAAUAUACGCAUCGAAGCUCUCUAUGAAACAUUCUAAGCAACGGUAUAUUAAUUUUUCAUUUUUCUUUUUUCUGAAAAUAAAAAAAUAAAAAAAUUGGAAUGCAUGAGUUGAAAGUAGUUGUAUGUUUUGAUUUAGUAAAGUAGGUAGUAGCAUUGUUUGAGAUGAUUCCAAAUGUGGACUCCCCACGUACGUCUAAAGAAGAUUCCCUAUCACUUUUUGUUGUUUGUAAUUUUCUUUUCUUAUCAAAGUUAAUACAUAUAUUUGGCUUUUCUAGUCUUCUAGUAUUGCCUAAAUACCAUAUUUAAUUAAAAUCUUUUUACUCAUACUAUAAUAUUAAAUCUUAUGUUGUAUGGAACAUAAAUUUAAUCACUUCAAGAAAUGGAAAAUGAAAGUAAUAUUUACAAAAUAUUCUUAUUCACAAUAAAAAUAAUAAGCUUUUUUUUUUUUAUAAAAAAAUAAUUCUGAUAUAUCAAAUAACUUAUUUAUAUUUUUAUAUUAUUAUGAAAAAAAAUAUUCAUGAAAUUUUUUAGGUGGUCAUUUUAUUUUUAUUUUAAAUCUAAUUUUAAUGUGUUUGAUAAAAUUUAAAAAAUAUUUUUAAAAUUUUGAAAAAUUAUAUUAUAAAAUUUUUUGGAGAAGCAAUUGAUACCUGAUUCUCUCGGAUGCAUUGAUAAUAUGCUUUGAGAUUAACUCUAAUUUAGAUAAUAACAAAUAAUUUUUUAUAUUAUUAUUAUUAUUAUUAUGCCCAUAAUUGAAAAAACCAUUUUUCAAAAUAAAUAUUUGGAUGUGUAGAGCGCAUUAAUCGAGAUAUUUGGACUAGUAGAACAAAUCCCACGUUAGAUGGUGGCUUUGUGGCCUGCUAGUGCCAAUCACAUGGCCAUGAACCUGGUUUCGUAAUUAUCUUCAAAUCCAUGCCCUUUUUCACUUCUCCACUACCUUAUAACCGCCUCGUUCAAACGCCACAGCUAACUACCUCCACCUUCUCUCUCCAGAGCUUUCUGUACUUUCUUGCUCUACGUAUCUCGCCGGAAAAUGAAGCCGACCAUUGGGAACGGCGACAAGAUCCGGCACAUUGUGAGGAUCCAGAAAAUGCUUCGUCGAUGGCGGAGGAUGGCUGCGUGUUCGUCGUCGUGUGCGUCAGAUGUAGUCAUUAGGGUUCCGUCCGACGUCCCAGCCGGCCACGUCGCGAUCUGCGUGGGGAGCAGGUACAGGAGGUUCAUCGUGCGCGCGUCGUACCUGAACCACCCCGUCUUCAAGACGCUCCUCCUCCAAGCCGAGGAAGAGUACGGCUUCGCCAACCACGGUCCCCUGGCGAUUCCCUGCGACGAGUCGGUGUUCGAGGAGGUCCUCCGAGUAGUGUCCAGGCGCGAAUCGAGCCUCUCG